rnacentral:rRNA from 1 species
UACGAAGGGGGCUAGCGUUGUUCGGCUUUACUGGGCGUAAAGCGCACGUAGGCGGUUUGUUAAGUCAGGGGUGAAAUCCCAGAGCUCAACUCUGGAACUGCCUUUGAUACUGGCAAGCUAGAGUCCGGAAGAGGUAAGUGGAACUCCUAGUGUAGAGGUGGAAUUCGUAGAUAUUAGGAAGAACACCAGUGGCGAAGGCGGCUUACUGGUCCGGAACUGACGCUGAGGUGCGAAAGCGUGGGGAGCAAACAGG